rnacentral:rRNA from 1 species
UACGUAGGGGGCAAGCAUUGUCCGGAUUUAUUGGGCGUAAAGAGCGUGUAGGCGGCCAAGCAGGUCCGCUGUGAAAACUCGAGGCUCAACCUCGAGACGUCGGUGGAAACCGUUUGGCUAGAGUCCGGAAGAGGAGAGUGGAAUUCCCGGUGUAGCGGUGAAAUGCGCAGAUAUCGGGAAGAACACCCGUGGCGAAGGCGGCUCUCUGGGACGGUACUGACGCUGAGACGCGAAAGCGUGGGGAGCGAACAGG